rnacentral:rRNA from 1 species
GACGAACGCUGGCGGCGUGCUUAACACAUGCAAGUCGAACGGACAGGUCCUGCUUUUGUUGGGUUCUCGAGUGGCGCACGGGUGUGUAACACGUGAGUAACCUGCCCUUGUCUUUGGGAUAACUUCACGAGACUGCGGCUAAUACCGGAUAUGAUCUCCUGCUGCACGGUGGGGGAUGGAAAGUUUCGGCUGUUGUGGAUGGACUGGAGGCUUAUCAGCUUGUUGGUGGGGUAGUGGCUGACCAAGGUUUUGAGGGGUAGCCGGCGUGUGAGGUGUGCCGGGGACAUUGGGACUGAGGGACGGACCAGUCGCGAACGGGAGGCAGUGGGGGAGAACAUGGCACAGUGGGGGGAAGCCAGAUGCAGAAACGCUGCGUGCGGGAUGACGGCCUUUGGGUGGUAAACAGCUGUCGCCUGAGCCGAAGCGGGAGUGACGGUAAUGGGUAAAGAAGCACCGGCUAACUACGUG